rnacentral:piRNA from 1 species
UGGAGGCAAGGUAGCUUCUUGAAGGC